rnacentral:rRNA from 1 species
UACGUAGGGGGCUAGCGUUGUCCGGAAUCAUUGGGCGUAAAGAGCGUGUAGGCGGUCCGGUAAGUCCGCUGUGAAAGUCGGGGGCUCAACCCUCGAAUGCCGGUGGAUACUGUCGGGCUAGAGUGCGGAAGAGGCGAGUGGAAUUCCUGGUGUAGCGGUGAAAUGCGCAGAUAUCAGGAGGAACACCUAUUGCGAAGGCAGCUCGCUGGGACGUAACUGACGCUGAGACGCGAAAGCGUGGGUAGCAAACGGG